rfam:Schistosoma mattheei strain Denwood, Zambia genome assembly, scaffold: SMTD_scaffold0000834
AUCCAUCGGACGAGUCCCAAACAGGACAAAACGUGCGUCCUGGAU